rnacentral:rRNA from 1 species
AUUGAACGCUGGCGGCAUGCCUUACACAUGCAAGUCGAACGGCAGCACGGGAGCAAUCCUGGUGGCGAGUGGCGAACGGGUGAGUAAUGUAUCGGAACGUACCAUUGAGUGGGGGAUAACGUAGCGAAAGUUACGCUAAUACCGCAUAUACCCUGAGGGGGAAGGCAGGGGAUCGCAAGACCUUGUGCUCUUUGAGCGGCCGAUAUCAGAUUAGCUAGUUGGUGAGGUAAAGGCUCACCAAGGCGACGAUCUGUAGCGGGUCUGAGAGGAUGAUCCGCCACACUGGAACUGAGACACGGUCCAGACUCCUACGGGAGGCAGCAGUGGGGAAUUUUGGACAAUGGGGGCAACCCUGAUCCAGCCAUGCCGCGUGAGUGAAGAAGGCCUUCGGGUUGUAAAGCUCUUUCGGCCGGGAGGAAAUCGCAUCAGCUAAUACCUGGUGUGGAUGACAGUACCGGAAUAAGAAGCACCGGCUAACUACGUGCCAGCCGCCGCCGUAACAC